rnacentral:rRNA from 1 species
UACAGAGGUGGCAAGCGUUGUUCGGAAUUACUGGGCGUAAAGCGCGCGUAGGCGGCUUGGUCAGUCCCGUGUGAAAUCCCUCGGCUCAACUGAGGAACUGCACGGGAAACUGCCUGGCUUGAGUUCGGGAGAGGGAAGCGGAAUUCCGGGUGUAGCGGCGAAAUGCGUAGAUAUCCGGAGGAACACCGGUGGCGAAGGCGGCUUCCUGGACCGACACUGACGCUGAGGCGCGAAAGCUAGGGGAGCAAACGGG